GGGAGUAUAGCUCAGUGGUAGAGCACAUGCUUGCAUGCACGAGGUCCUGGGUUCAAGCCCCAGUGCCUCCA
rnacentral:tRNA from 1 species